GCUGGUCCUCACAAUGCGCGUUGUUCCGGUCUCUGUCCACACAGAAUAUUCGCCAUCAUCUCAGUCUCCGGUUCUUUCAGUCAUGGUGUCAACUGAGUUUCUUUCUGUCUUUGUAGCUGCGUAUUGACGUUCAGCCGCCACUGCCAUCGACCAUCUCCCCCUCAGUGAGCUGCUUGCUGCACAAAGACCCCCGACAGCUGACCUCUUCAUUGACCCCACGAGGACAAUGGCAGCAAAGUGCGGACACACGGAGAAGUCCUGGCUGGCAUUGUGUGUCCUGCAUCGCACUUUGUUGUCAUGCUGCAUGUUGUUUUCCCUACAACCGAUUUUCCGCCAUGUCAGUGUGACGUAGGCAGUAGUCAAGGAAGUCUUGAAAACUGUGGACCGACACCAUAUUGUGCGACAACAUUUGGCGAUAUCGUCGUUUGACGUUGUCGUUGACGACUUUACUUGGCAUAUCCAGCAGGUGUAAUGACACUUGUCCUGGUGUUUGCUAUCCUUGGUGUGACGUCACCGUGCUGCGGCCAGCAGUGGCGAAAGUGACGGGCGCCAUGACACACGUGGCCUUUGGCGAGUCCGGCGUGUGGGGGGUCAACUCGAGGGGUGACAUCUUCUACCGCGAGGGCUCCUACAACAACGCCGACAACACAGACCAGUGCGCAGUGUGGAGCAACAUUCCCGGCAGUCUCAAGCAGAUCGAUGUGGGCAGAGACUUUGUUAUCGGCGUCAGCAGCUCCGACGACAUCCUCUACAGAACGGGCAUCUCGCCAUCACAGCCAACCGGCACCAACUGGUCUCCACUGGAGGGCUCACUGAAGCACGUGACUGUAUCCUCCAAUGGCUCUUUGUGGGGAGUAAACUCAGGGACGAGGUUUUCUUCAGGACUGGCACCAGUCCCACCAGCCCAGCGGGCAGCGCCUGGCAAAACGUACCCGGGUACUUGAGGCAGAUUUCCGCAGGACCGUCCGGCGUGUGGGCUGUCAACAGCGUCAACGACGUUUACUACCGCGAGGGCACGUACGGCGGGGACAGCAACGUGGGCAUUGGUGGCGCCAAGUGUCCGGUAAACUUACUUACGUCACUUCCGGGUCAGGAGUGGUGAUUGGCGUGAACAGUCAGAACCACAUCGUGCGCAGAACCGGCGUCAAUGCCACCAAUCCCAUAGGAGACAGCUGGGUGGAGGUAGACGGUGUGGUGUCCAGGAUCGAGCAGCACAGUCACACCAUGUGGGGCGUCAACACCAUGCAGAUGACAUGGACGUCACCAAGCGUCUAGGGCUGUGGGCUGGUCGCGUGUGAGGCUGUGACUAACAGCAACAAGUGUCACCACACACACCUCCAUCUUUCUCCUCCUUGCCUGUUACCUGUCUACAAGGGUCUCACUCUAAAACCGCACUCUAGCUCCCUUACAGCCCCAAAGCUUAACUCACUUUUCUCCCAUCCGACCAGACAAGCAACCUUCUGUCGCUACCCUGGGUCUAACCAACCUUCUGUCGCUACCCUGGGUCUAACCAACCUAACUUUAAUAUUGAAACAGUUCAGUUUCUCGACUGUUCUUGAGGCGCCUUAGAAGGUUUCAUAAGACACAGCACUAACAGUCUCUAAACUCUUCUUCACACUCACACGCACUCUCACACACUUACUAACACAAUCACACACACCACUCACACUCACGCACACACAAUGCAGUGGACACUAAAAUAAAACUUGUGUCAAGAAUUAUUUCUAACUGUACCUGUGGGACUUUCUCAAGCAGCCUCAAUAAAUGUAUUUCCUAACGACGUUUUUCAAAUAAAUUAAAAUGUUCUCUCAAUAGCAGCUUAUUUCUCCGUGUGCCUGAUGUCUGUCGAGUUGUGAGCAGCUCACUGUGUACCUUUCAAUCACAGUUUUCUCUUUUAUUCUGGUCUUGUAGGUUCCUUGUGACAAAGCUUGAGUUUUAAGUGAAGAUUGUGUGCGUGUGUUAAUUAAUCCUUUAAGUAUCAGGCCUGCACUUUUCUUGUGCUCACAAGUGAGAGAGAGAGAGAUGAACACAUCGAAACUGAUCGCCACCUUCAGUCUCAGUCUCUGUCUCUCUGUCUCUCUGAUCUUUACAUGAGAAAUGAGUUUGUGUGACACCAUCAUCGUUGUACAGCACUUGAGGAGUUAUUAUAGAAUAUUGCUGUUACCAAACACAGUGGGAGUGGCACACCGGGCAGGCUUCAGUCACACCAGUGUGUGCUGAACAAUUAAAGUCGGGCAGUUAUUCUUCUCUGUGAAGGAAUAAAGAU
rnacentral:misc_RNA from 1 species